rnacentral:sRNA from 1 species
UUUCCCCGUCUGCAGCGCCCGAAGCGUGUUUUGGUAAUGCCUUUCGAGCGGUUAUCGGCUACCCUAGUGCCGAGUGUGUGACCAGGCGAGCGUAUGCCGGGUCAUUUU